GACGAACGCUGGCGGCGUGCUUAACACAUGCAAGUCGAACGGAAAGGCCUGCUUUCCCUUGUGGAUUGCGGGUACUCGAGUGGCGAACGGGUGAGUAACACGUGAGUGAUCUGCCCCCAACUUGGGUAUAAGCCUGGGAAACUGGGUCUAAUUCCCGAUAGGACUGCAGGGUGGUGCCUGUGGUGGAAAACGAUUUUCUAGUGGUUGGGGAUGAGCUCGCGGCCUAUCAGCUUGUUGGUGGGGUAAUGGCCUACCAAGGCGGCGACGGGUAGCCGGCCUGAGAGGGUGGACGGCCGCAUUGGGACUGAGAUACGGCCCCGACCCCUACGGGAGGCAGCAGUGGGGAAUCUUGCACAAUGGGCGGAAGCCUGAUGCAGCGACGCCGCGUGGGGGAUGACGGCCUUCGGGUUGUAAACUCCUUUCGACCGCGAGGAAGCCACCUGGUUGGAAGGGUGGUGACGGUAGUGGUAGAAGAAGCACCGGCUAACUACGUG
rnacentral:rRNA from 1 species